rnacentral:rRNA from 1 species
AAAUUGAAGAGUUUGAUCAUGGCUCAGAUUGAACGCUGGCGGCAGGCCUAACACAUGCAAGUCGAACGGUAACAGGAAGCAGCUUGCUGCUUCGCUGACGAGUGGCGGACGGGUGAGUAAUGUCUGGGAAACUGCCUGAUGGAGGGGGAUAACUACUGGAAACGGUGGCUAAUACCGCAUAACGUCGCAAGACCAAAGAGGGGGACCUUCGGGCCUCUUGCCAUCAGAUGUGCCCAGAUGGGAUUAGCUAGUUGGUGAGGUAACGGCUCACCAAGGCGACGAUCCCUAGCUGGUCUGAGAGGAUGACCAGCCACACUGGAACUGAGACACGGUCCAGACUCCUACGGGAGGCAGCAGUGGGGAAUAUUGCACAAUGGGCGCAAGCCUGAUGCAGCCAUGCCGCGUGUAUGAAGAAGGCCUUCGGGUUGUAAAGUACUUUCAGCGGGGAGGAAGGUGUUGUGGUUAAUAACCGCAGCAAUUGACGUUACCCGCAGAAGAAGCACCGGCUAACUCCGUGCCAGCAGCCGCGGUAAUACGGAGGGUGCAAGCGUUAAUCGGAAUUACUGGGCGUAAAGCGCACGCAGGCGGUCUGUCAAGUCGGAUGUGAAAUCCCCGGGCUCAACCUGGGAACUGCAUUCGAAACUGGCAGGCUUGAGUCUUGUAGAGGGGGGUAGAAUUCCAGGUGUAGCGGUGAAAUGCGUAGAGAUCUGGAGGAAUACCGGUGGCGAAGGCGGCCCCCUGGACAAAGACUGACGCUCAGGUGCGAAAGCGUGGGGAGCAAACAGGAUUAGAUACCCUGGUAGUCCACGCCGUAAACGAUGUCUACUUGGAGGUUGUGCCCUUGAGGCGUGGCUUCCGGAGCUAACGCGUUAAGUAGACCGCCUGGGGAGUACGGCCGCAAGGUUAAAACUCAAAUGAAUUGACGGGGGCCCGCACAAGCGGUGGAGCAUGUGGUUUAAUUCGAUGCAACGCGAAGAACCUUACCUGGUCUUGACAUCCACAGAACUUUCCAGAGAUGGAUUGGUGCCUUCGGGAACUGUGAGACAGGUGCUGCAUGGCUGUCGUCAGCUCGUGUUGUGAAAUGUUGGGUUAAGUCCCGCAACGAGCGCAACCCUUAUCCUUUGUUGCCAGCGGUUAGGCCGGGAACUCAAAGGAGACUGCCAGUGAUAAACUGGAGGAAGGUGGGGAUGACGUCAAGUCAUCAUGGCCCUUACGACCAGGGCUACACACGUGCUACAAUGGCGCAUACAAAGAGAAGCGACCUCGCGAGAGCAAGCGGACCUCAUAAAGUGCGUCGUAGUCCGGAUUGGAGUCUGCAACUCGACUCCAUGAAGUCGGAAUCGCUAGUAAUCGUGGAUCAGAAUGCCACGGUGAAUACGUUCCCGGGCCUUGUACACACCGCCCGUCACACCAUGGGAGUGGGUUGCAAAAGAAGUAGGUAGCUUAACCUUCGGGAGGGCGCUUACCACUUUGUGAUUCAUGACUGGGGUGAAGUCGUAACAAGGUAACCGUAGGGGAACCUGCGGUUGGAUCACCUCCUUACCU